rnacentral:rRNA from 1 species
GACGAACGUUGGCGGCGUGCUUAAUACAUGCAAGUCCACUGAAGCAGUGGUAGCAAUAUCGCUGUGGAGGUGGCGCACGGGUGAGUAACACGUAGGUAAUCUGCCUUCAGGUCUGGCAUAACUCCGGGAAACCGGGGCUAAUAGCAGAUGAUGCAGCGGCUCGACAUCGAGACAGUUGUUAAAGCUAUGGCGCCUGAAGAUGAGCCUGCGUCUGAUUAGCUAGUUGGCGGGGUAACGGCCCACCAAGGCAACGAUCAGUAGCUGGUCUGAGAGGAUGAUCAGCCACACUGGAACUGAGACACGGUCCAGACUCCUACGGGAGGCAGCAGUAAGGAAUAUUGCCCAAUGGGAGAAAUCCUGAAGCAGCAACGCCGCGUGAGGGACGAAGGGCUUUUGCUUGUAAACCUCUGUAGUGAGAGAAAAAAAUCCCAAUCUUUGGGACAUGAUGGUACCUCAAAAGUAAGCCCCGGCUAACUACGUG